AUUUUGGGAGAAUUGCAAUGAACCGUAAAGCAAAGUGGUGAUGAUGUGACGGGAGCCAAAUCACAAUCUGUUCAAUAUCAGUUCAUUGGUAGGAUUGAUAUGAACAAAGCCUGUAAUCUGACCUGGAUGCAUAGGGUUGCCAUUUUCAACCCACCAGCCUCCCAUGUUACCCUCCCAUGUUACCCUACCUCGCAGGCCUCAUCAAUUAUUCAGUAGGCCAGGGAAAGUGCUGGUCUCCAGUCCCCCACUGAGUCUGGGACAGCAGUAGCAAGAUCGUCCAGGACCGGGAUGAUGCUAAGGAAGGUAGGGCCAGGAGUAUGCAGGUGGCCAACCCUGCUGUUUUGGUGCCUGUAUGUCUUCGUGGAGGAGCACACUGUGUAUGGCCACAACAGAACUGUGGAAACCAGGGAGAUGGAGAGGCCAUUUUGUGAACAAGGAUACUAUUGUCCAGUGGGAAGUCCCACACCAGUGCCAUGUCCGAAGGGUACAUUUGGGCCGACGGUUGGUGCUAGUUCCAUGGACAGCUGUCUCAGCUGCCCAACCAACCACUACUGUCCGCGACCUGCUCUGACCUCAGGCAUACCCUGUGGAGCCUGGGCACAGCAGCCCCUACCUGGCCAGGACAGAUGUGUGUGUCUUGGAGAAGGGCAAACCUUCCAGGCCAGUGAUGGGCAGUGCCCCUGUGCCCUAGGGUACCGCCUCAUGGGCCAAGGGGACACUUGUUUGCACAGUGUCUAUGAUAUUUGUAGAGAUGGGAGAGCGAGGACACAACAUGGAACCUGUCUGGACAGGCAGCAGUGGGCACAGCACUGUACCCAACAGGUGUGUCUCUCUCCAGGGGACUACCAGGGCUUUGAUGGAUCUCUGGGCCUGUGUCUGUGCAGGGAACCCCCAGAGAGAGCUGUGUGUGGGGGCUGGUGUAGGAGCAGGCCAAAGCUGGCACUGCAUUUAGUGUGUGCUGCCGUAGACUUGCAGCUGGUAUAUAGCAACUCUGAAGGCCAGGUGAGCGUCUCCGGGAGUGUGUUGCUGGAGACCAUGUUCAAACGCUGGGACUCCCAGGGGACCUUGCAGUGUGACGGUCGCCACAAUGUCUCCCUUCCUGUGUACACAGUGCAAACAAAUGAUGCAGGGUUCCUUGGUCUCCUCAAUGACGUCCCAGCGGAGAUUCGGAAGUUAUUUCCAGAGAAAAGCCUGGGAAUGCACAUCUCUACAGGUGACUCUGGUGUCAGAGAGGAAGGAGGGGCUGGGUCUGAUUGGUCCAGCAGAGCAACCACCUGGGGAGGAACCAUGAACUCCAGCUCUGUGGGGAUUCUGAACCCUACUGCAUGUCUACACCUAUGGGACACACUGCUCUUCACUGUCACCAGACAACAUUACCCUCAGUAUGAUGUAGAGAACCUGUACAAUACCAACCGUGACUUUGACUGGGGUCCUCUGAGACGGCUGGCUGAGGACCUGACACUGGCCAGGACACCACCGACACUCUUCUCAUUGGUCUUCACUCAGCCUGGGGUGUACGCCUUCAAACACAGCGAUCAUCAAUACAAACACAUGUAUGUGAGGGUAAUGCCAGCAGGUGGACAGUGCUAUGAGGCUGGACCGUUCUUCCCCACUGUCCCCCAUCAUGUGACAAGAAUGGGCAUCGCCAAGAGACGACACCUGCUUCUACGCCCUGACUGGUUGGUGACAGGAGGACUGCUGCUUGGCGCAAUGGUCAUCCUCAGCCUGUGUGUGACGCUGCUGAUCUUGUUUCGGGAGUAUGGCUGGCCAGAGAAAGUGGCCACCAGAGCCCAGUACCGUACACUCCAGCUCCAGUACCCCAUGGAAGACUACGCCUCAAAGGGUUCCAGGGUGACGACAUUAAAGAAGUACCACAGAAACCUCCAGGCCAGGAUGACGGAGGCCUCUAUACAGCCCGCCCUGCACUUGGAGGCAGAUGAGUUCUGGGACUAUGAGCAUCAGGUGGACCUGGAGGCUUUCAGCACUAACACCUUCUACAGCAUCCUACUAAAACACAGUGUGUCUGUCACCGCUAGACUGAGCCAGCUCAGAGGAGAGGUGAAGGACCUGUAUCAGGGGGUGAUGGACAAGCUGAAGGGGCUCCAGCUGCAGCCGGGCUGGUCUGCAGUUGGGAAGACCAGGGAGGGCUAUGAGAGGCUGCGGAGGCAGGUGGAGCAGGAGGUGAUCCGACGUAGGUCCCUGGCCCAGCAGCUCAGGCAUCUCUUGGACAGUCAGCUCGGGGUCCUGAGGACAGAGCUGAUGGCCCAGCAGACGGUGCACAGGACCUUCGGGGCCCAUCUCAGGGAGUGUGUGAGGCUACUGGGCCAAGCAGUGGACAACACUGACCACCCUCUCUGGGAUGAACACCCACAACAGUAAUGUCUGAAUCUGUGUCCCUUGCCUCUUCCUGUCAUGCCUGUGUGUUCUGGAAAGAGCUUUGAACUACAGCUGUUUUUAAUUGGCCAGGGGUAUUAAUGAGAAUAUUACAGUUUUUCUCAAUCCCGUACAAGCAUGUCUUGGACCAAUGUUAUCAUUUUACAAAACAAAGUCCACAAAAACACAGAACUCGUGGCCUUUUGCAAAACUCAAAACAUAUAUACAUUCAUCAAAACUAUAUUAUACUGUCAAAAUUUCUAACUGAAGAAAUUCAUCAAAAGACCACGACUGCCUGUGAAAAGAUUAACGCAACCAUACUUCGAGUCAAAGCAGACAAAAGAGAAAGUUAGUCUGUCUUUUUAAAAAUUCCAGAAGAUCAACACAUUUUCUUUGUAGUCACUAAAUCAUGGUCAAAAUUGGAACAACAACUAUCCAAAGGUGCAUAAUUAUAGGUCAUUACUCUCCUUUUAUGCAUAUUUCACCAAACAAUUUUAUACACAUAAAAUAAAAAUAAAAAACAAGCACAUUUGAGGGCCUCCCGGGUGGCGCAGUGGUCUAAGGCAGUGCACGCUGACCAGGUCGCUAGGUGUAUGGUGUUUCCUCCGGCACAUUGGUGCGGCUGGCUUCCAGGUUGGAUGUGCACUGUGUUAAAAAGCAGUGGGGCAUGGUUGGGUUGUGUUUCAGAGGACGCAUGGCUUUCGACCUUCGUCUCUCCCGAGCCCGUACGGGAGUUGUAGCGAUGAGACAAGACAGUAACUACUAAUAAUUGAAUACCACGAAAUUGGGGAGGAAAAGGGGGUAAGAAAAUAAAUAGAGCUUUAAAAUGGAAGGUCACAAUGUUGGAGAUGAUGACUUAGAAGUAACCCAACUUCAUUCUAUACAUGUCUGCAAUAUUGUAAAAAAGAAAUCUAAAAAAAGUGUCCCUAUUGUCUAGAUAUUUCCCUAUAUUGUACAUGGUAUGACACUGAUAACAUGAUUUAGAAUUUAGUAGUAUAAUGCAGUAGUAUCACUUAUUGACAGAAAGAGUGAACACAUUUAUCUUCCGAUGAAAAUAUCUGUUCCUAUUCAGUCAACAAAACACUUGACAUUUGUAUUUAAAGUUCAGCAAAAGUUGGUCUAAGAUAUGUAAGUCAGGUCCAAAAGGCAAGAAAAUAAUGAGUUUCUGUAAAUGUAUUUUAAGAAUUUGAUCAUUGCUGUUCUUUUAUUGAUACGUUUCAAUACAGACGCAAAAAUUGCUUGUACAUGAUUAAAAAU
ensembl:lncRNA